AGAAAGAAAAGAAAAGACAAACAAGAAAGAUAUCGUUUCUUUGUUUGUCUUUGUUUUGUUGUUGUGUU
rnacentral:ribozyme from 13 species